rnacentral:rRNA from 1 species
UACGAAGGGGGCUAGCGUUGUUCGGAAUUACUGGGCGUAAAGCGCACGUAGGCGGACUAUUAAGUCAGGGGUGAAAUCCCGGGGCUCAACCCCGGAACUGCCUUUGAUACUGGUAGUCUCGAGUCCGGAAGAGGUGAGUGGAAUUCCGAGUGUAGGAGGUGAAAUUCGUAGAUAUUCGGAGGAACACCAGUGGCGAAGGCGGCUCACUGGUCCGGUACUGACGCUGAGGUGCGAAAGCGUGGGGAGCAAACAGG